rnacentral:rRNA from 1 species
GAUGAACGCUGGCGGCGUGCCUAAUACAUGCAAGUCGAGCGAACGGACGAGAAGCUUGCUUCUCUGAUGUUAGCGGCGGACGGGUGAGUAACACGUGGAUAACCUACCUAUAAGACUGGGAUAACUUCGGGAAACCGGAGCUAAUACCGGAUAAUAUUUUGAACCGCAUGGUUCAAAAGUGAAAGACGGUCUUGCUGUCACUUAUAGAUGGAUCCGCGCUGCAUUAGCUAGUUGGUAAGGUAACGGCUUACCAAGGCAACGAUGCAUAGCCGACCCGAGAGGGUGAUCGGCCACGCUGGAACUGAGACACGGUCCAGACUCCUACGGGAGGCAGCAGUAGGGAAUCUUCCGCAAUGGGCGAAAGCCUGACGGAGCAACGCCGCGUGAGUGAUGAAGGUCUUCGGAUCGUAAAACUCUGUUAUUAGGGAAGAACAUAUGUGUAAGUAACUGUGCACAUCUUGACGGUACCUAAUCAGAAAGCCACGGCUAACUACGUG